UUCUCAUUUAGACAUCGGGAGCCUCAAUUUUCAAAGAAAAUGAGGUAUUGCCCCUCAUUUUCUAGUUUCACCCAAUUCGAGCAAAAAAGGCCCAAAACCACUUAUUAUAGCACACGAGUUUCUGGCCAUUUUCAAUUUUUUUAGGCCUCCUGUUUUUUCCCUUUGAGUGUGCUUAUAGACACCUCUUAACAUCUUUUGAACCAUUUUAGCAUCAAAAUUUCAUGUCAGUUAUUGUUUUAUUCAAGAUCGGGCUUCAACGACUUUCGUGCAUCGUGUAUCGUAAAUCUAUUGAAACUGUUAUUUUCUGGGGUAUUGGGUGAAGUUGCCAAGAUCGUGUUGACUUCACUUCUUCUCAUACAGACAUCGGGAACCUCAAUUUUUAAAGAAAAUGAGGUAUUGCCUCUCAUUUUUAAGUUUCACCUAAUUCGAGCCAAAAGACUUAAAACCGCCUUGACCUGCAUUGGGCCACCUUGACCCUCCUAGACCCGCCUAGGGCCAUCUUGACCCUCCUAGAUCCGCCAAGGGGCUACCUAGAGCCUCUAUGUGGCCGUCUUGACCCGCUUUGGGCCGCCUUGACAUGCCUUGGGCCGCCUUAACCCGUCUUGGGCCGCCUAGACCCGCCUUGGGCCGCCUAGACCCGCUUUGGCCAGCCUUGACCCGCCUUGGACACUUAGUGCCACCAAGAAGCCGCCAUGAUUUGCCAAGGUGUCGCCAUGACCCUCCUAGGUCCAUCUAGGGCCGCCAAGGGACCGCCUUAACCCGCCUUAGGCCACCUUGACCCUCCUCGGCCCACCCUUAGGGAACGCCCUAAGGNGGCGCAAUGACCACCUAGGGUUGCCAAGGGGCUGCAUUGACCCAUCUAGGGCCGCAAAGAGGCUUCUUUGACCCUUCUAGGGCCGCCUUAACCCUCCUAGACCCGCCUAGAGCCACCAAGAAGCCGCCAUGACUCGCCAAAGGGUCUCCAUGACGCUUCUUGGGUUGCCUUAACCCGCCUUAGGCCGCCUUGACCCAUGUUAGCCCGCCUUAGGCCACCUUGACCCGCCCUGAACCGCUUUGGGCCGUCUUGACCCUCCUAGACUCGGCUAGGACCGCCUUGAUCCUCCUAGACUCGCCUAGGGUAAGAAGCCGCCAUGACUCGCCAUGACCCAUCAAGGGGCUCCUUUUACACGCCUUGACCCUCUUAAGGCCACCUUGACCAGUGUAGGGCCGCCUUAACCCGCCUAGAGCCGCUAAGAGGCUGCCUUUACACGCCUUGACACACCAAGGGCCGCUAAAGGGGCUGUUUUGACACGCCUAGGGCCGCCAAUGGGUGCCUUUACAUGUCUUAACCCGUUUAGGGUAGCCAAGAAACCGUCAUAACAUUCCUAGGGCCGCCUUGACACGCCUAGGGCCGCCAAGGGGAUGUCUUGACCAGUCAAUGGGCUACCUUUACACGCCUAGGGUUGUUUUGACCUCCCUAGGGACCGCCAUGACCCGCCUAGGGCCGCAAAGGGGCUGCAUACGUCCGCCAAGGGGCCACCUUGACCCGCCAUGGCUCACCAUGACCCGCUUUAACCUGGCUUGGCCCGCCAUGACCCGCCUAGGGCCGCCAAGGGGCUGCAUAUGUCCACAAAGGGGACACCUUGACCCGCCUUGGCCCGUUAUGACCCGUUUUGACCUGCCUUGGCCCGCCAUGACCCGCCUUGGCCCGUCUUGAACCGGCUUGACCCGGCUUUGGCCGCCUUGAACCGCCUUGGGCCGCUUUGACCCUCCUAGACCCACCUAGGGCCACCAAGAAGCCGCCAUGACUCCCCAAGGGGUCGCCAUGACCAUCUUAGGCCCGUCUGGGGCCGCCUUGACCCUCCUCGGCUCUUCUAGGCCUACCUUGGGCAGCCAACGACCGGCCAAGGGGGUGCCUUGACCUGCCUUGGCCCGCCUUGGAACUCCUUGGGCUGCCUUGCCCCGCCUUGGGCCGUGUUGGCCCGCCUUGAUCCGACUUGGACCGCCUUGACUCACCCUGAAACGCCUUAGGCCGCCUCCUAGACCCGCCUAGUCUCUCCUAGACCCGCGAAGGGGCUGCCUUUACACGCCUUGACCCGUCUAGGGCCACCAAGGACCGCCUUGAUCCGCCUUGGCCUUCGGUGGGCCGUCUUGGCCGGCCUUAACCCGCCUUGACCCUUCUUGACUCGCCUAGGGUCACCAAAAAGCCACCAUGACUCGCCAUGACCCAUCAAGGGGCUUCUUUUACACGCCUUCACCCUCCUAGACCCGCCUAGGGCCACCUUGACUCGUGUAGGGCCGCCAAGGGCCGCCUUAACCCGCCUUAAGCUGCCUUGACCCUUCUUGGCCCGCCUUGACCCUCCUCGGCCCUUUUAGGCCCACCUAGGGCAGCGAAGGGGGAGCCAUGGCCCACCUAGAGCCGCCAAGGGGCUGCAUGUACACGCCUUGACCCAACUAGGGCCUCCAAGGGGCUGCCUACGGCCGCCAUGGGGCUAACUUGACCCGUAUAGAGCCGCUUUGACCCGCCUUGGACCGGCUUGACCGACCUUGACCCGCUUUCAGCCUCUUUGACCCUCCUUUGCUUGCCUUGACCCACCUUAACCUGCCUUGGACUGCGUUGACCCGCCUUAGUCCGCCUUGAACAGCCUUAAACCGCCCUGAACCGCCUUGGGCCUCCUAGUGCCACCAAAAAGCCGCCAUGACUCGCCAUGACCCUCCUAGGCCCGUCUAGGUCGCCAAUGGAAUGCCUUAACCCGCCUUGACCCGUCUUGGCCCACGUUGGGCCGCCUUGACCCUCCUCGGCACUUCUUGGCCAACCUAGGGCAGCCAAGGGGGCUCCAUGACCUGUCUUGGCCUGCCUUGACCCCCCAAGGGGACGUCUUAAACCUCCGAGAUCUGCCUAGGGCCACCUUGAGCCUCCUAGACCCGCCAAGGGGCUGCUUAUGGCCGCCCCUUGACUCGCCUUGGUCUACAUUGACUCGCCUUGACCCGCGUUGGCCCGCCUUGACACGCCUUGGACCGCCUUGACCCGCCUUGGACCGCCUUGGCUCGCCUUGACCUGCCAUGACCCGCCUUGGCUCGCCUUGACCCGCUUUGAACCGCUUUGGCCCGCCGUGACCCUCUUAGACCCGCCUAGGGCCGCCUUGACCCUCCUAGACUCGCCUAGGGCCGCUAAAUGGCCGCCUUGACACGCCUAAGGCCGCCAAGGGGACGACUUGACCUGCCAAACCUUUUACCUGCCUAGUUCUGUUUUGACCUCCCAAGGGCUCGCCAAGACCCGCAUAGGGCUGCCAUGGGGCUAUCUUGACCCAUCUAGGGCCGCCUUGACCCGCCUUGGCCAGUUUUCGGCCGCUUUGGCCCGCCUUGGACAGCCAUGACCGGCCUUGGGCCGCCUUGACCGGCCUUGACCCGCCUUAGACCGCCUUGACCCUCCUUGAAUUGCCUUAACCCUACUAGAUCCGCCAAGGGGCUGCCUAGGGCCGCCAUGGGGUCGCCUUGAACUGCCUUGACCGGCCUUGGUCCGCCUUUACCCGCCUUGGCCUUCGUUAGGACGCCUUGGCCCGCUUUGGCCCGCUUUGACCCGCCUAGAGCCGACUUGGGCCUCCUUGACCCUCCUAGACCCGUCUAGUGCCGUCUUGACCCUCCUAAACUCGCCUAGGGCCACCAAGAAGCCCUCAUUACUCGCCAUGACACGUCAAAGGGCUGCAUUUACACGCCUUGAACCACCUAGGGUCGCCAAGAGGGCUGCUUUGACAUGACAAGGGCUAGCAUGACCCGCCAAGGGGAUGUCUACGGCCGUAAUGGGGCUACCUUGACCCGUCUAGGGCUGUCUUGGCCCGUCUUAAGCCGNNNNNNNNNNNNNNNNNNNNUUGACACGCCUUGGACCGCCUUGCACAGCCUUGACCCGCCUUGGACCGCCUUGACCCGUCAUGACCCGCCUUUACCCGCCUAGUUCUGUUUUGACCUUCCAAGGGCUCGCCAUGACCCGCCUAGGGCCGCCAAGGGGCUGCCUACAACCACCAUGGGGCUAUCUUGACCCAUCUAGGGCGGCCUUGACCCGCCUUGGACAGUCUUGAAUCGCCUUGGGCCGCCUUGACCCUACUAGAUCCGCCAAGGGGCUGCCUAGGACCGCCAUGGGGUAGCCUUGAACUGCCUUGACCGGCCUUGGUCCGCCUUAGACCCGGCUUGGACCCGCCUUGGCCAUCGUUAGGACGCCUUGGCCUGCUUUGGCCCGCCUUGACACGCCUAGAACCAACUUGGGCCUCCUUGACCCUCCUAGACCCGUUUAGGGCCGCCUUGACCCUCCUAGACUCGCCUAAAGCCACCAAGAAGCCCUCUUUACUCGCCAUGACACGUCAAGAGGGCUGCUUUGACACGCCAAGGGCUAGCAUGACACGCCAGGGGGCUGUCUACGGCCGCAAUGGGGCUACCUUGACCCGUCUAGGGUGCCUUAGCUCGUCUUAAGCCGCUUUGACCCGACUUGGCCCGCCCUGGACCGCCUUGGCCCCCCUUGACCCGCCUUGGGCCGCUAUGAGCCACCUUUGCCUGCCUUGACCAGCUUUGAACCGCUUUGGCACGCCUUAACCCGUCUUGGAUCGCCUUGGGUUGCCUUGACCCGCCUUAGGUCUCCUUGACCCCCUUGGACCGCCUUGAGCUGCCUUGACCCUCCAAGACCAAACUAGGGCCACCAAGAAGCCGACUCUCCAAGGGGUCUCCAUGACCCUUCUUGGCCCGUCUUGGGCCGCCUUAACACGCCUUGGGCAACCAUGACCCACCUAGAGCCGCCAAGGGGCUGACUUUACAUGUUUUGACCCGCCUACAGCCGCCAAGGGGCCGCCUUGGGUCGCUAAGGGGGUCGCCUUGACACGCCUCAGGCCGCCAAGGGGACGUCUUGACCCGCCUUAGCCUGCCUACGGCCGCCAUGGGCUAUCUUGACCCGCCUUUGACCGUCUUAGGCCGCUUUGACCCGCCUUGGGCCGCCUAUGACCGCCUUGACCCGCCGUGGGCUCUUUUGACCCGCAUUUGCCCGCCUUGAUUCGCCUUGACCCGCCUUGACCCUCGUAGACCCACCUAGGGCCACCAAGAAACUGCCAUGACACGGCAAGGGGUCGCCCUGACCCUCCUAGGCCCGUCUGGGGCAACCGUGACCCGCCUUAGCCUGCCGUGACCUGCCUUAGCCACCGCUUUGGACCACCUUGGGCUGCUUUGACCCGCCUUGCACCGCCUUGAACCGCCUUGGGCCGCCUUGAACCGCCUUGACCUUCCUAGAGCCGCCUUGACCCUCCUUGACUCGCAUAGGGCCAACAAAAAGCGGCCAUGACUCGCUAAGACCUGUGAAGGGACUUCCUUUACAUGUCUUAACCCUCUUAGGCCCGCCUUAGGCAGCCUUGACCCUCCUCGGCCCUUCUAGGCCCACCUAGGGCAGCCAAGGAGGAGCCAUGACCUACCUAGAGCCGCCAAGGGGCUGCCUUUACACGCCUUGACUAACCUAGGGCCAUAAAGGGGCUGCUUUGACCCUCCUAGAGCCGCCUUGACCCUCCUUGACUCGCCAAGGGCCAACAAAAAGCGGGAACCUCGAUUUUCAAGGGUAUUUGGUGAAUUUGCCAUGGUCGUGUUGACCUCAAUUCUUCUCAUACAGACAUCGGAAACCUCAAUUUUCAAAGAAAAUGAGGUAUUGCCCCUCAUUUUCAAGUUUCACCCAAUUCGAGCCAAAAGGCCCAAAACCCCUUGCUAUACACACGAGUUUCUGGCCAUUUUCACUUUUUUUAGGUCUCAUGUUUUUUUCGUUUGGGUAUGCUUAUAGACACAUCCUAACAUCUUUUGAACCAUUCUUGCAUCAAAAUUUCAUAUCAUUCAUUGUUUUACUCAAGAUUGGGCUUCAACGACUCACGUGCACCGUGUAUCGUAAAUCUAUGGAAACUGUUAUUUUCAAACGUAUUGGGUGAAUUUGCCAUGAUCGUGUUGACUUCAAUUCUUCUCAUACAGACAUCGGGAACCUCAAUUUUCAAAGAAAAUGAGGUAUUUUCAAAGAACCUCAAUUUUAAAACAUGAGCCUCUGAUUUUUAAGUUUCACCUAAUUCGAGCCAAAAGACCCAAAACCGCCUUGACCCGCAUUAGGCCAACUUAACCCUCCUAGACCCGCCUAGGGCGGUCUAGACCUUGCUAGACCCACCAAGGGGCUGCCUAGGGCCGUUAUGGGGCUGCGUUGACCGGCCUUGGGCCGCCUGACUCGGCUUGGACACCUAAUGCCACCUACAAGCCGCCAUGAUUUGCCAAGGUGUCGCCAUGUCCCUCCUAGGCUUGUCAAGGGAUGCCAAGGGACCGACUUAACCCGCCUUGACCCUCCUCGACCCGCCUAGGGCAGCCAAGGGGGGCGCAAUGACCCACCUAGGGCCGCCAAUGGGCUGCCUUUACAUGCCUUGACCCGUCUAGGGCCGCCAAGAGGCUUCCUUGACCCUUCUAUGGCCGCUUUAACCCUCCUAGACCUGCCUAGGGCCACCAAGAAGCCUCCAUGAACCGCCUUCAAUCACUUUUUACCGCCUUGGGCCGCCAAGAAGCCGCCAUGACUCGCCAAGUCGUCGCCAUGACCCUCCUAGACCCGUUUAGGGCCACCAAAAAGCCGCCAUGACUCGCCAAAGGGUCGCCAUGACCCUCCUUGGCUAUUCUAGGCCCACGUAGGCCAGCCAAGGUGGCGCCAUGACCCUCCUUGACCCUCCUAGACACGCUUUGGCCCGCCUUGGGCCGCUUUGACCCGUCUUUGCCCGCCUUAACUAGUAGACCCACCUAGGGACUCCUUGUCCCUCUAAGACCCGCCUAGGGCCGCCUUGUCCCUCCAAGACCAGCCAAGCUACUGCCCAGGGCCGCCUUAACCCGCCUUGGCUCGCCUUGACCCGCCUUGUACAUGCUUGGCCUUCGUUGGGCUGCCAUGCUCAUGUUGACUUCAAUUCUUCUCAUACAGACAUCGGGAACCUCAAUUUUCAAAGAAAAUGAGGUAUUGCCCCACAUUUUCAAGUUUCACCUAAUUCGAGCCAAAAAACCCAAAACUCAUUGCUAUAACACACGCGUUUCUAGCCAUUUUCACUUUUUUUAGGCCUCACGCUUUUUUGGUUUGGGUUUUCUUAUAGACACCCCAUAACAUCUUUUGAACCACUCUUGCAUCAAAAUUUAAUGCCAUUUAUUGUUUUACUCAAGAUCGAGCUUCAACGACUCACGUGCACUGUGUAUCGUAAAUCAACUCAAACUGUUAUUUUCAGGGGUAUUGGGUGAAUUUGCCAAGGNNNNNNNNNNNNNNNNNNNNNNNNNNNNNNNNNNNNNNNNNNNNNNNNNNNNNNNNNNNNNNNNNNNNNNNNNNNNNNNNNNNNNNNNNNNNNNNNNNNNNNNNNNNNNNNNNNNNNNNNNNNNNNNNNNNNNNNNNNNNNNNNNNNNNNNNNNNNNNNNNNNNNNNNNNNNNNNNNNNNNNNNNNNNNNNNNNNNNNNNNNNNNNNNNNNNNNNNNNNNNNNNNNNNNNNNNNNNNNNNNNNNNNNNNNNNNNNNNNNNNNNNNNNNNNNNNNNNNNNNNNNNNNNNNNNNNNNNNNNNNNNNNNNNNNNNNNNNNNNNNNNNNNNNNNNNNNNNNNNNNNNNNNNNNNNNNNNNNNNNNNNNNNNNNNNNNNNNNNNNNNNNNNNNNNNNNNNNNNNNNNNNNNNNNNNNNNNNNNNNNNNNNNNNNNNNNNNNNNNNNNNNNNNNNNNNNNNNNNNNNNNNNNNNNNNNNNNNNNNNNNNNNNNNNNNNNNNNNNNNNNNNNNNNNNNNNNNNNNNNNNNNNNNNNNNNNNNNNNNNNNNNNNNNNNNNNNNNNNNNNNNNNNNNNNNNNNNNNNNNNNNNNNNNNNNNNNNNNNNNNNNNNNNNNNNNNNNNNNNNNNNNNNNNNNNNNNNNNNNNNNNNNNNNNNNNNNNNNNNNNNGAACCUCAAUUUUCAAAUAAAAUGAGGUAUUGCCCCUUAUUUUCAAGUUUCACCCAAUUCGAACCAAAAGGCAGAUAACUCCUUGCAGCACACGAGUUUCUGGCCAGUUUCACAUUUUUUAGGCCUUCAGUUUUUUUCGUUUGUGUAUGCUUAUAGUAACCUCCCUAACAUCUUUUGAACCAUUGUUGCAUCAAAAUUUCAUGCCAUUUAUUGUUUCACUUGAGAUCGGGCUUCCAUGACUCACGUGCACCAUGUAUCGUAAAUCAACUCAAACUGUUAUUUGCAAGGGUAUUGGGUGAAUUGUCGUGUUGACUUCAAUUCUUUUCAUACAGAUAUCGGGAACCUCAAUUUUCAAAUAAAAUGAGGUAUUGCCACUCAUUUUCAAGUUUCACCUAAGUCGAGCCAAAAGGUCCAAAACCUCUUACUAUAACACACGUGUUUCUGGCCAUUUUCAUUUUUUAUAGGCCUCCUGCAUUUUUGGUUUAGGUAUGCUUAUAGCCACCUCCUAACAACUUUUGAACCAUUCUUGCAUCAAAAUUUCAUGUCAUUUAUUGGUUUACUCAAGAUCGGGGUUUAACGACUCACGUGCACCGUGUAUCGUAAAUCAACUCGAACUAUUAUUUUCAAGGCUAUCGGGUGAAUUUGCCAAGGUCUUGUUGACUUCAAUUCUUCUCGUACAGACAUCGGGAACCUCAAUUUUUAAAAAAAAUGAGGUAUUGCCCCUCAUUUUCAAGAUUCACCCGAUUCGAGCCAAAAGGCCCAAAACCUAUUGCCUUAGCACACGAGUUUCGGGCCAUUUUCACUUUUUUUAGGCCUCCAGUUUUUUCGUUUGAGUAUGCAUAUAGACACCUCGUAACAUCUUUUCAACCAUUCUUGUAUCAAAAUUUCAUGUCAUUUAUUGUUUUACUCAAGAUCAGGCUUCAAUGACUCACAUGCACCGUGUAUCGUAAAUCAACAGAAACUGUUAUUUUCAAGGGUAUUAGGUGAAUUUACUAAGGUUGGGUUGAUUCAAUUCUUCUCAUACAGACAUUGAGAACCUCAAUUUUGAAAGAAAAUGAGGUAUUGCCCCUUAUUUUCAAGUUUCACCCAAUUCAAGCCAAAAGGCUCAAAACUUCUUGCUAUAGCACACGAGUUUCUGGCCAUUUUCACUUUUUUAAGGCCUCCAGUUUUUUCGUUUGUGUAUGCUUAUAGACACCUCUUAACAUCUUUUAAAACAUUCUUGCAUCACAAUUUCAUGUCAUUUAUUGUUUUACUCAAGAUCGGGCUUCAACGACUCACAUGCACCGUGUAUUGUAAAUCAACUCUAACUGUUAUUUUCAGGGGUAUUGGGUGAAUUUUCCGUGGUCGGGUUGAUUCAAUUAUUCUCAUACAGACAUCAGGAACCUCAAUUUUCAAAGAAAAUGAGGUAUUGCCCUUUAUUUUCAAGUUUCACCCAAUUCGAGCCAAAAAGUCCCAAAACUCUUUGCUAUAGCACACGAGUUUCUGGCCAUUUUCACUUUUUUACGGCCUCCUACUUUUUGGUUUGGGUAUGCUUUUAGACACCUCCUAACAUCUUUUGAACCAUUCUUGCAUCAAAAUUUCAUGCCAUUUAUUGUUUUACUCAAGAUCGGGCUUCAACGACUCAUGUACAACGUGUAUCGUAAAUCAACUCAAACUAUUAUUUUCAAGGGUAUUGGGUGAAUUGUCAUGUUGACUUCAAUUCUUCUCACACAGACAUCAGAAACCUCAAUUUUCAAAGAAAAUGAGGUGUGGCCCCUCAUUUUUUAGUUUCACCCAGUUCAAGAAAAACUGUUAUUUUCAGGGGUAUUGGGUGAAUUUGAUAAAGUCGGGUUGAUUCAAUUCUUCUCAUACAGACAUCGGGAACCUCAAUUUUCAAAGAAAAUGAGGUAUUGCCCUUCAUUUUCAAGUUUCACCCAAUUCGAGCCAAAAAGCCCAAAACUCCUUGCUAUAGUACACGAGUUUCUGACCAUUUUUAAUUUUUUUAGGCCUCUUGUUUUUUUCAUUUGAGUGUGCUUAUAGAUACCUCUUAACAUCUUUUGAACCAUUCUAGCAUCAAAAUUCCGUUUCAUUUAUUGUUUUAUUCAAGGGGCUGCCUAGGGCCGCUAUGGGGCCGCCUUGACAUGCCUUGGACACCUAGUGCCACCGAGAAGCCUCCAUGAUUUGCCAAGGUGUCGCCAUGACCUCUUGUAGGCCCGGCUGGGGCCGCCAAGGGACCGCCUUGACCUUCCUCGGCCCACCUAGGGCAGCCAAAGGGGCGCCAUGUCCCUCCUAGGGCCGCCAAGGGGCUGCCUUAACACGCCUUGACCCGUCUAGGGCCGCCAAGAGGCAUCCUUAACCCUUCUAGGGCCGCCUUGACCCUCCUAGACCCGCCUAGGGCCACCAAGAAGCCUCCAUGAGCCGCCUUCAACCUCUUUGGACCGCCUUAGGUCGCCUAGAAGCCUCCAUAACUCGCCAAGUUGUCGCCAUGACCCUCUUAGACCUGUCUAGGGCUACCAAGAAACCGCCAUGACCCUCCUUGGCUCUUCUAGGCCCACGUAGGGCAGCCCAGGUGGCGUCUUGACAUCUCUUGGGCUGCCUUGGACUGCCUUCGGCCCGCCUUGUACCGCCUUGACCCUCCUAGACCAGCCUAGGACCACCAAGAAGCCGCCAUGACUCGCCAAAGGGUCUUUAUGACCCUUCUAGAGACGUCUUAACCCGCCUUGACCCACGUUAGCCCGUUUUAGGCUACCUUGAUCUGCCUUGACCGGAGUUGAGCCUUCUUGACCCUCCUAGACUCGCCUAGGGCUGCCUUGACCCUCCUAGACUCGUAUAGGGCUGCCUUGACCCUCCUAGACCCGCCAAGGGGAUGCCUAAGGCCGCCUUGACCAGCCUUGGACCCGCCUUGGCCUUCGUUGGGCCGCCUUGACCCGCCUUGGGCCGCCUUGACCCUCCUUGACUCGCCUAGAGCAAGAAGCUGCCAUGACUCGCCAUGACCCGUCAAGGGGCUUCCUUUACACGCCUUGACCCUCCUAGGGCCACCUUGACCCGUGUAGAGCCGCCAAGGGCCGCCUUAACCAGUAUUGGCCCGCCUUAACCUGCCUAGAGCCGCCAAGGGGCUGCCUUUACAUGUCUUGACCCGUUUAGGGCAGCCAAGAAAUCGUCAUAACAUUCCUAGGGCUGCCAAGGGGACGUCUUGACCUGCCAAGGGUUGCCUUUACAUGCCUAGGGAUGUUUUCAACUCCCUAGGGACCGCCAUGACCCGCCUCGGCUCGCCAUGACCCGCUUUGACCUACUUUGGCCCGUCUUGACCCGUUUUUGACCGUCUUGACCACCUUUGACUUGCCAUGGGCCGCCUUGACCCGGCUUGGGCCACCUUGAACUGUCUUGGGCCGCCUUGACCCUCCUAGACCCACCUAGGGCCAUCAAGAAGCCGUCAUGACUCGCCAAGGGGUCGCCAUGACCAUCCUAGGGCCGUCUGGGGCCACCUUGACCUGCCUUGGGCCGCCUUGACCCGCCUUGGACACGUAGUGCCACCAAGAAGCCACCAUGACUCGCCAAGGGGUCCCCAUGACCCUUCUAUGGCCGCUUUGACCCGUCUUGGCCCGCCUUAACCCUCCUUGGCCCUUCUAGACCCACCUAGGGCAGCUAAGGGGGACCCAUGACCCACCUACAACAGCCAAAAGGUUGCCUUUACAUGCUUUGACCCGCCUAGGGCCGCCAAGGGGGCCGCCUUGACACGCCUAAGGCCGCCAAGGGAACUUCUUGACCUGCCAAGGGGGUGCCUUUACACACCUUGACCCACCUAGGGCCGCUAAAGUGGCUGCUUUGACACGCCUAGGGCCGCCAAUGGGGCUGCCUUUACACGCCUAGACCCGUUUUGGGCCCCUAAAAGACCGCCAUAACAUUCCUAGGGCCGCCUUGACACACCUAGGGCCACCAAAGGGACGUCUUGACCCGCCCAGGGGUUGCCUUUACACUCCUAGGGCUGUUUUGACCUCUCUAGGGACCGCCAUGACCCGCUUAGGGCCGCCAAGGGUCUGCAUACGUCCGCCAAAGGGACACCUUGACCCGCCAUGACCCGCUUUGACUUGCCUUGGUCCGCCAUGACCCGUCUUGGAACGCCUUGAACCGCCAUGGGCCGCCUUGACCCGGCUUGGGCCGCCUUGAACCACCUUGGGCCGCCAUGACCCUCCUAGACCCACCUAAGGCCACCAAGAAGCCGGCAUGACUCCCCAAAGGGUCGCCAUGACCAUCCUAGGUCCGUCUAGGGCUGCCUUGACCCACUUUGACCCGCCUUAACCUUUCUAGGCUUUUCUGGGCCUACCUUAGCUAGCCAACGGCCGACCAAGGGGGUGCCUUGACCUUUCUUGGCCCUCCUUGGGCUGCCUUGCCCCGCCUUGAUCCGCUUUGGACCGUCUUGAAAAGCCUUGGGUCGCCUCCUAGACCCGCUAGGGGGCUGCCUUUACAUGCCCUGACCCGUCUCGGGCCCCUUGACCCGUCUUGGACCGCCUUGACUCGCCUUGGCCUUUGGUGGGCCGCCUUGGCCGGCCUUGACCCUCCUUGACUCACCUAGGGCCACCAAGAAGCCGCCAUGACUCACCAUAACCGGUCAAGGGGCUUCCUUCACACGCCAUCACCAUCCUAGGCCUGCCUAGGGCCACCUUGACUCGUGUAAGACCGCCAAGGGCCGCCUUAAGCUGCCUUGACCCUUCUUGGCCCUCCUCGGCCCUUCUAGGCCCACCUAGGGAAGCGAAGGGGGAGCCAUGGCCCACCUAGAGCCACCAAGGGGCUGCAUUUAUACGCCUUGACCCAACUAGGGCCGCCAAGGGGCUGCUUUAACACACCUAGGGCCGCCAUGACCCGCCUAGGGCCGCCUAGACCCGUCAUGGCCCGUCUUGACCCGCCUUGGCCCGCCCCUUGACCCGCCUUGGAGCGCCUUGCACCGCCUUGAACUUCCUUAGCCCGCCUUGACCCGCCAUGACCCGCCUUGACCCGCUUUGAACCGCUUUGGCCCGCCUUGACCCUUUGAGACCCACCUAGGGCUGUCUUGACCCUCCUAGACUCGCCUAGGGCCGCUAAAUGGCCGCCUUGACACGCCUAAGGCCGCCAAGGGGACGACUUGACCUGCCAAACCCUUUACACGCCUAGUUCUGUUUUGACCUCCCAAGGGCCCGCCAUGACCCACCUAGAGCCGCCAUAGGGCUAUCUUGACCCAUCUAGAACCGAUUUUGGCCUCCUUGACCCUCUUAGACCCGCCUAGGGCCGCCUUGACCCUCCUAGACUCGCCUAGGGUCACCAAGAAGCCGUCAUUACUCGCCUUUAACCAACUAGGGCUGCCAAGGGGGCUGUUUUGACACGCCAAGGGCCGCCAUGACCCGCCAAGGGGCUGUCUACGGCCGCCUUGACCCGCCUUGGCUCGCUUUGGCCCCCUUUGACCCGCCUUGCGCCGCUAUGACCCGUCUUUGCCAGCCUUGACCAGCUUUGAACCGCUUUGACACGCCUUAACCCGUCUUGGACCGCCUUGACUAUCCAAGACCCAACUGGGGCCACUAAGAAGCCGCCAUGACUCACCAAGGGGUCUCCAUGACCCUUCUAGGGCCGCCUUAGGCCGCUUGACCCGUCUUAGGCCACCUUAACACGCCUUAGGCAGCCAAGGGGGAGCCAUGACCCACCAAGAGCCGCCAAGGGGCUGCCUUUACACGCCUUCACCUGCCUAUAGCCGCCAAGGGGCCGCCUUGACACGCCUUGGGUCGCUAAGGGGGCCGCCUUGAGAUGCCUCAGGCCGCCAAUGGGACGUCUUGACCCGCCUUGGUCCGCUUACGGCAACCAUGGGGCUAUCUUGACCCGUCUAUGGCCGCCUUGACCCGCCUUGGACUGUCUUGGGCCGCUUUGACCAGCCUUGGACCCGCCUAUGACCGCCUUGGACCGCCUUGACCCCCUUGGGCCAUUUUGACCGGCAUUUGUCCGCCUUGACCCGCCUUGGGCUACCUUGGCCCUCCUAGACCCACCUAGGGCCACCAAGAAGCCGCCAUGACACGGCAAGGGUUGUCUUGACCCUCCUAAGCUCGUCUGGGGCCACGGUGACCCGCCUUGACCCUCCUCGACUCUUCUAGGCCCACCUAGGGCAGCGAAGGGGGCGUUUUGACCCGCCUUGGACCACCUUGGGCUGCUUUGACCCACCUUAGGCCGCCUUGACCCACCUUGAACCACCUUGACCCUCCUAGACCCGCCUUGACUCGCCUAGGGCCAACAAAAAGCGGCCAUGACUCGCCAAGACCCGUGAAGGGACUUCCUUUCCACAUCUUAACCCUCCUAGGCCCGCCUUGACCCGUCUUGGCCCGCCUUAGGCCGCCUUGACUCUCCUCGGCCCUUCUAUGCCCACCUAGGGCAGCCAAGGAGGAGCCAUGACCCAUCUAGAGCCGCUAAGGGGAUGUCUUUACACGCCUUGACCCACCUAGGGCUGCCAUGGGGCUGGUUUAACACGCCUAGGGACGCCAAGGGGGCCGCCAUGACCCGCCUAGGGCUGCGUACGGCUGCCAUGAGGCUACCUUGACCCGUCUAAGGCCGCCUUAACCCGCCUGGACCGCCUUGGAUUGCCUUGACCCGCCUUGUCCCGUUUUGGGCCGCUUUAACCCACCUUGAACCGCUUUAACCCGCCUUGACCCAUCUUGGACCGCCUUGGACCUCCUUGAGCCACUUUGGUGAAUUUGCCAAGGUUGGGUUGACUUCAAUUCUUCUCAUACAGACAUCGGGAACCUCAAUUUUCAAAGAAAAUGAGGUAUUGCCUCUCAUUUUCAAGUUUCACCCAAUUCAAGCUAAAACGCCCAAAACUCUAUGGCACACGAGUUUCUAACCGUUUUCACUUUUUUUAGGCCUCUUGCAUUUUUGGUUUGACUAUGCUUAUAGACACCUCGUAACAUCUUUUGAUCACCAUUCUUGCAUCAAAAUUUCAUGACAUUUAUUAUUGAAUUAAUUACUGGUCACUCCAUUAACUUUCAUGCGCUCGACAGUUUACUCCAUUAACUUUUAAUUUCAAUCGAUUACUCCAUUAACUAUCCAAUGUCACACAAUUAUGUCCAUCCGUUAAGUGGCAGUCCAAAUCAGUGGUUAAGUUACUGACUGGACAUAUUUUUCAACUGGAAAUUCCAUUUAACACCCUCCCUCCCUCCCUCCUUAAUCUCUUCAAUCUCUUCUGUCUCCUCCUCCACCUCCUCCGCAACCACAACGCCACCACAUCACCAAUUGGACCUUCAACAACACCGCAACAACAAUACCAGCAACUAACCAACCAACCACACCACCAGCAACCAACCACAUCAACACCGUAAUCAAACACACCGCAACCAGACCACCAGCAACCAACCACACCACCAGUAGCUCAUCCCGCAGCUCCUCGACAUCUCUCUCCCGACGCUAAAAACUCAAACCCACCUACCUCGCAUCUCUCUCCCGAAGCCCAAAACUCAAACCCUCACAACAAUCUUCUCCCUUCACCGCCAACCAAACCCUAAACAACACCAUCCAUGAAGUCUUUCCGUUUUCCGCUUCAAACCCGUGCUAGACUUGAAAUCUCAACCACUUCGAAUCCCCAGCCAACAACCUCUUCUCGCUCGCCUCCCCUUCCUCUAUAUGAAAUUGAAGUCAUUUGUUUGAUUGGAAAUAGAUUUGGGAAUUGGGGGUUUCAAUCCCUAAAAUUUCAGAUUUGGGAAUUGGAAGUGUUGAACGGUGAGCCACUAGAGGGCGUUGGUGCGGUUGGUGGCCAGAGGUGGGACACUAGCGCGUUGGGGAUGGUGAGGAGGAGGGUGGUGUUAGAGUAGAGGAAGGCACAGACGAGGUUGGGGUCAGAGACGUCAAGGCGGAGGGCGGCGAGGUUGAGAGAAGUGAUGGUCGAGGCCACGCGCUCCGGUAGCAGAGGGGUGGGGCAGGUGGCGACGGUGGAGGCGGAAUAGGUGACGCUGAUGGUGAUGGAUGAGGCGGCGUCCGACGAGGAAGAGGAGGGUGAUGAGAGAAACGGCGGAGAGAGAAAAGUGGGAAGCCAUGGCUGGCUCAUGGGUUUUAAAUGUGUGUGUGUGUGUGUGUGUGUGAGAGAGAGAGAGAGAGAGAGAGAGAGAGAGAGAGAGAGAGAGAGAGAGAGGAGGUAGGUAGUAGUAGUAGUAGUAUAGUAUAUAUACGUACGUACUACUAACUAACCUUAACUAACUUACGUUAGUUAGUUACGUACGUAACGUACGUACGUACGUACGUACGUACGUAGUUAGUAGUAGUAGUAGUAGAGUAGUAGUACGUACGUAGUAGUACGUAGUAGUAGUAGUAGUAGUAGUAGUAGUAGUAGUAGUAGUAGUAACGUAAGGUAGUAGUAGAGUAGAAGUAGUAGUAGAGUAGAGUAGUAGUUAGUAGUAGUAGUAGUUAGUAGUAGUAGUAGUAGUAGAGNAGAGAGAGAGAGAGAGAGGUGGGGUGUUAAAUGGAAUUUUCAGUUGAAAAAUAUGUCCAGUCAGCAACUUAACCAUUGAUUUGGAUGACCACUUAACGGAUGGACCUAAUUGUGUGACAUUGGAUAGCUAAUGGAGUAAUUAUCGAUUGAAAUUGAAAGUUAAUGGAGUAAACUGUCAAGUGCAUGAAAGUUAAUGGAGUGACCAGUAAUUUCUCCUUUAUUAUUUUACUUAAGAUCGGGCUUCAGCGACUCACGUGAACCAUGUACCAUAAAUCAACUCAAAUUGUUAUUUUCGGGGUAUUGGGUGAAUUUGCCAAGGUCUUGUUGACUUCAAUUCUUCUCAUACAGACAUCGGGAACCUCAAUUUUCAAAGAAAAUGAGGUAUUGCCCCUCAUUUUCAAGUUUCACCCAACUCGAGCCAACUGGCCCAAAACUCCUUGCUAUAGCAAACGAGUUUCUGGCCAUUUUCACUUUUUUUAGGUCUCCUGUUUUUUUGGUUUGGGUAUGCUUAUAGACACCUCCUAACAUCUUUUAAACUAUUCUAGCAUCAAAAUUUCAUGUCAUUUAUUGUUUUACUCAAGGUCGGGCUUCAACAACUCACGUUCACCGUGUAUCGAAAAUCUAUUAAACUGUUAUUUUCAAGCGUAUUGGGUGAAUUUACCAAGGUCGUGUUGACUUCAAAUUUUCUCAUACAGACAUUAGGAACCUCAAUUUUCAAAGAAAAUGAGGUAUGGCCCAUCAUUUUCAAUUUUAACCCAAUUCAAGCCAAAAGGCCCAAAACUCCUUGCUAUAACACACGAGUUUCUGACCAUUUUCACUUUUUUUAGGCCUCCUGUUUUUUUGGUUUGGGUAUGCUUAUACAAACCUCCUAACAACUUUUGAACAAUUCUUGCACCAAAAUUUCAUGUCAUUUAUUGGUUUACUCAAGAUCGGGCUUCAACGACUCACGUGCACCGGGUAUCGUAAAUCAACUCAAACUGUUAAUUUCAAGGGUAUUGGGUGAAUUUGCCAAGGUCGUGUUGACUUCAACUCUUCUCAUACAGCCAUCAGGAACCUCAAUUUUCAAAGAAAAUGAGGUAGUGCCCCUCAUUUUCAAGUUUCACCCAAUUCGAGCCAAAAUGCCCAAAACCCCUUGCUUAUAACACACGAGUUUCUGGCCAAUUUCACUUUUUUUUAGGCCUCUUGUUUUUUUGGUUUGGGUGUGCUUAUAGACAUCUCCUAACAUCUAUUGAACUAUUCUAGCAUCAAAAUUUCAUGUCAUUUAUUGUUUUACUCAAGAUCGGGCUUCAACGACUCACGUUCACCGUGUAUCGAAAAUCUAUUAAACUGUUAUUUUCAAGCGUAUUUGUUGAAUUUGCCAAGGUCGUGUUGACUUCAAAUUUUCUCAUACAGACAUCGGGAACCUCAACUUUCAAAUAAAAUGUGGUGUUGCCCCUCAUUUUCAAGUUUCACCGAAUUCGAGCCAAAAGACCCAAAACCGCUUGCUAUACACACGAGUUUCUGGCCAUUUUAACUUUUUUUAGGCCUGCUGUUUUUUCGUUUGAGUAUGCUUAUAGACACAUCCUAACAUCUUUUGAACCAUUAUAGCAUCAAAAUUUCAUGUCAAUUAUUGUUUUACUCAAGAUCGGGCUUCAACGACUCACAUGCACUGUGUAUCGUAAAUCUAUUGAAACUGUUAGUUUCAAGCUUAUUGGGUGAAUUUGCCAAGGUCAUGUUGACUUUAAUUCUUCUCAUACAGAUAUCAGGAACCACAAUUUUCAAAGAAAAUGAGGUAUUGCCCACCAUUUUCAAUUUUCACCGAAUUCGAGCCAAAAGGCCCAAAACCACACACGAGUUUCUGGCCAUUUUCACUUUUUUUAGGCCUCCUGGUUUUUUGGUUUGGGUAUGCUUAUAGACACCUCCUAACAUCUUUUGAACUGUUCUAGCAUCAAAAUUUCAUGUCAUUUAUUGUUUUCCUCAAGAUUGGGCUUCAACGACUCAAGGUCACUGUGUAUCGAAAAUCUAUUAAACUGUUAUUUUCAAGCGUAUUGGGUGAAUUUACCAAGGCCGUGUUGACUUCAAAUUUUCUCAUACAGACAUCGGGAACCUCAACUUUCAAAGAAAAUGAGGUAUUGCCCCUCAUUUUCAAGUUUCACCGAAUUCGAGCCAAAAGACCCAAAACCGCUUGCUAUAGCACAUGAGUAUGUGGCCAUUUUCACUUUGUUUAGGCCUCAUGUUUUUUUCGUUUGGGUAUGCUUACAGACACCUCCUAACAUCUUUUGAACCAUUCUAGCAUCGAAAUUUCAUGUCAUUUACUGUUUUACUCAAGAUAGGGCUUCAAUGACUAUCGUGCACCGUGUAUCGUAAAUCUAUUCAAACUUUUCUAGCGUAUUGGGUGGAUUUGCCAAGGUCGUAUUGACUUCAAUUCUUCUCAUACAGACAUCGGGAACCUCAAUUUUCAAAGAAAAUGAGGUAUUUUCAAAGAACCUCAAUUUUAAAACAUGAGCCAAAAGACCCAAACCCACCUUGACUCGCAUUGGGCCGCCUUAACCCUCCUAGACCCGCCUAGGGCCGUAUUGACCCUCCUAGACCCACCAAGGGGCUGCCUAGGGCCGCUAUGGGGCCACGUUGACCCGCUUUGGUCUAUCUUGACCCGCUUUGGCCCGCCUAGACCUGCUUUGGGCCACCUAGACCCGCCUUGGGCUACCUUGGGCCGCCUUGGACACCUAGUGCCACCAAGAAGCCGCCAUGACCCUCUUAGGCCCAUCUAAGGCCGCCAAGGGACCGCCUUAACCCGCCUUGGGCCGCCUUGACCCUCCUCGACACACCUAAGGCAGCCAAAGGGGCGCCAUGACCCACCUAGGGCCGCCAAUGGGCUGCCUUUACACGCCUUAACCCAUCUAGAGCCGCCAAGAGGUUUCCUUGACCCUUCUAUGGCAGCCUUGACCCUCCUAGACCCGCCUAGGGCCACCAAGAAGCCUCCAUGAACCGCCUUCAACCGCUUUAGACCGCCUUGGGGCGCCAAGAAGCCGCCAUGACUUGUCAAGUGGUCGUCAUGACCUUCCUAGAACCGUUUAGGGCCACCAAAAAGUCGCCAUGACUCGCCAAGGGGUCGCCAUGACCCUCCUUGGCAAUUCUAGGCCCACGUAGGGCAGCCAAGGUAGUGCCUUGACUUCCCUUGGGCCGCCAUGGACUACCUUGGGCCCGCCUUGAACCGCCUUUACCCGCCUUGAACCGCCUUGACCCUCCUAGAUCCGCUUAGGGCCGCCUUGACUCUCCUAGACCCGCCUAAGGCCGCCUUGACCCUCCUAGACCCGCCUAGGGCCACCAAGAAGCCGCCAUGACUCACCAAAGGGUCUCCAUGACCCUUCUAGGGCCGCCUUAACCCGCCUUGACCCACGUUAGCCCGCCUUAGGCCACCUUGACCCGCCUUAACCCGCGUUGGGCCUUCUUGACCCUCCUAGACUCGCCUAGGGUUGGCUUGACCCUCCUAGACCCGCCAAUGGGCUGCCUAGGGCCGCCAUGGGGCCGUCUUGACCCGCCUUGGACCGCCUUGACCCGCUUUGGCACGCCUUGACCUGCCUUAGGCUGCCUUGACUCGCUUAGUGCCACCAAGAAGCUGCCAUAACUCACCAAGGUGUCGUCAUGACCCUCCUAGGCCCGUCUAGGGCCGCCAAGGGACCGCCUUAACCCGCCUUGACCCGUCUUGGACCGCUAUUGGGGCUGCCUUGACACGUCUAGGGCCGCCAAGGGGACGUCUUGACCUGCCAAGGGGCUGCCUUUACUCGCCUAGGUCUGUUUUGACCUCCCUAGGACCCGCCAUAACCCACCUCGGCCCGUCUUGGGACGCUUUAAUCCGCCUGAACCUGCCUUCAUUCGCCUUGGACCACCUUGGGCAGCCUUGAUCUGCCUUGGACCGCCAUGGGCCGCCUUGACCCACCUUGGACUGCCUUGGACAGCCUUAAACCUCCUUGAACCGCCUUAGACCGCCUUGGCCCGCCUUGACUUGCCUUGGCCGGUCUUAGACCGCCUUGACCCGCCUAGUGCCACCAAGAAGCCACCAUGACUCGCCAAGGCAUCGCUAUGACCCUCCUAGGCCCGUCUAGGGCUGCCAAGGGACCGCCUUAACUCGCCUUGACCCGUCUUGGACCGCCUUACCCUCUUCGGCCGUUCUAGGCCCACCUAGGGCAGCCAAGUGGGGGCCAUGACCCACUUAGGGCCGCCAAGGGGCUGCCAUUAUACGCAUUGACCAGUCUAGGGCCGCCAAGAGGCCGUCUUAACGUUCCUAGGGCCGCCAAGGGGACUGCUAUGACACGCCUAGGGCCUCUAAGGGGCUGCCUUUACACGCCUAAGGUUGUUUUGACCUCCAUAGGGACCGCCAUGACCCGCCUAGGGGAUGCAUACAUCCGCGAAGGGGCCGCCUUGUCCCGCCAUUACUUGCCUUGGCCCGCCUUGGACCGCCUUGACCAGCCUUGGGCAGCCAUGGGCCUCCUUUACCCGUAUUGAACCGCCUUAACCCUCGUAGACCCACCUAGGGCCACCAAGAAGCAACCAUGACUUGCCAAGGGGUCGCCAUGACCCUCGUAGCCCCGUCUAAGGCCGCCUUGACCCUCCUUGAUCCUCCUCAACUCAUCUAGGCCUACCCAGGGUAGGCAAGGGGCGGCCAAUGGGUCGCCAUAACCAGCCUUGGACCGCCUUUACCCGUCUUGGAACGCCUUAGGCCGCCUUGACUUGCCUUUGACCGCCUUAACCCGCCUUGUACCGCCUUGACCCUCCUAGACCUGCCAAGGGGCUGCCUAAGGCCGCCUUGACCCUCCUUGACCCUCCUACACUCGGCUAGGGCCGCCUUGACCCUCCUAGACUCGCCUAGGGCAAGAAGAUGCCAUGACUCGCCAUGACCCGUCAAGGGGCUUCAUUUACACACCUUGGCCCUCCUAGGGCCACCUUGACCUGUGUAGGGCAGCCAAGGGCCACCUUAACUCGCAUUGACCCGUAUUGGCCCGCCUUGGGCCGCCUUGACCCGCCUAAAGCCGCCAAAGGGCUGCUUUUACACGCCUUGACCCACCUAGGGCCACCAAAGGGGCUGCUUUGACACGCCUAGGGCCGCCAAUGGGGCUGCCUUUAUACGCCUUGACCCGUUUAGGGCCACCAAGAGACCACCAUAACAUUCCUAGGGCCGCCUUGACACGCCUAGGGCCACCAAAGGGAUAUCUUUACCCGCCAAAGGGACAUCUUGACCCGCCAAAAGGACAUCUUGACCCGUCAAGGGGCUGCCUUUACACGCCUAGGGCUGUUUUGACCUCUCUAAGGACCGCCAUGACCCGCCUAGGGCCGCCAAGGGGCUGCAUACUUCCGCCAAAGGGCCACCUUGACUCGCAUUGGCCCGCCAUGACCCGCUUUGACCUGCCUUGGCCCGCCAUGACUCGCCUAGGGCCGCCAUGGGGUUAUCUUGACCCAUCUAGGGCCGCCUUGACCCACUUUGGGCCGCUUUUGCCCGCAUUGGAACGCCUUGACCCACCUUAGCUCGCCUUGAUUCUCCUUGACCCGUUUUGGCCCACCUUGACCCGCCUUGGACCGCCAUGACCCACCUUGGCUCGCCUUAACCUGCCUUAGCCAGUCUUAGGCCGCCUUGACCCGCUUUGAACUGUCUUGGAUCGCCUUGACCCGCCUUGAGUCGCCUUGGCCCUCCUUGACCCACCAUGACCCACCAAGGGGCUGCCUACGGUCGCCAUGGGGCUACCUUGACCAAUUUAGGGCUACCAUGACCCGUCUUGGCCAAUCUUAGGCCGCUUUGACCCGACUUGACCCGCCCUGGACCGCCUUGGCCCCCUUUGACCCGCCUUGGACCGCCUUUGACCCUCUCUUGACUGCCUUGGACCUCCUUUACCUGGCACGCUUUGGCCCGCCUUGACCAGCCUUCAACAGAUUUUGCCCGCUUGACCCGCCUUAGACCGCCUUGAGCCGCCUUGACCCUCCAAGACCAUCCUAGGGCCACAAAGAAGCCGCCAUGACUCACCAAGGGGUCUCCAUGACCCUUCUUGGACCGCCUUAACUAGCCUUAGGCCGCUUGACCCGUCUUGGGCCGCCUUGGGCCGCCUUAACACGCCUUAGGCAGCCAAGGGGGAGCCAUGACCCACCUAGAGCCGCCAAGGUGCUGCCUUUACACGCCUUGACUCGCCUACAGCUACCAAAAGGGCCGCUUGACACGCCUAAGGCCUCCAAGGGGACAUCUUGACCUGCCAAGGGCUACCUUUACACACUGAGGUCUGUUUUGACCUCCCUAAGGCUCGCCAUGUCCCGCCUAGGGCUGCCAACGGGUUGCCUACGGCUGCCAUGGGGCUAUCUUGACCCGUCUAGACCGCCUUAACCCGCCUUGGGCCGCUUUGACCCGCCUUGGACAGCCUUGACCCGCCUUAGGCCCUUUUGGCCCGCCUUGAUUUGCCUUGACACGCUUUGGCCCGCCAUGACCCGCCUUGGACCGGAUUAGGCAGCCUUGACCCGCCUUGGACCACCAUGAUCCGCCUUGGCCCACCUUGACCUGCCUUAGCCAGUCUUGGGCCGCCUUGACCCGCCUUGAACCGCUUAGAGCCGCCAAGAAGCCGCCAUGACCCUUCUAGGCCCGUCUAGGGACGCCAAGGGACCGCUUUAACCCACCUUGACCCUCCUCGGCCCUUCUAGACCCACCUAGGGCAGCGAAGGGGGCGCCAUGAUGACCCACCUAGGGAUGCCUUUACACGCCUUGACCCGUCUAGGGUCGCCUUAACAUUCUUAGGGCCACCAAAGGGGCCGCCUUGACACGCUUAGGGCUGCGAGGGGACAUCUUGACCCUCCAAGGGCUAUCUUUACAUGCCUAGGGCUAUUUUGACCUCCCUGGGAACCACCAUGACCCGCCUAGGGCCACCAAGGGGAUGCUUAUGUCCGCCAAGGGGACACAUUGACCCACCUUAGCCCGUCUUUACCCGCCCUGGACCGCCUUGACUCGCCUUAACCCGCCUUGGGCAGCCUUGACCCGCCUAGGAUCGCCUUUACCCGCCUUGAACCGCCUUGACCCUCAUAGACCCACCUAGGGCCACCAAGAACUCACCGAGGUUUCGCCAUGAUCCUCCUAGGCCCGUCUUGGGCCGCCAUGACCAGCCUUGGCCCGCCAUUACUCGCCAUAACCCUCCUUAGCUCUUCUAGGCCUACCUAGGGCAGCCAAAGGGGCGCCUUGACACGCCUUCAACCGUGUUGGCCAGCCUUGGACCACUUAGACCCGCCUUGUACUACCUUGACCCGCCUAGACCCGCCAAGGGGCUGCUUAGGGCCACCAUGGGGCAGCUUUGACCAACCUUGACCCUCUUUGGCCUUCGUUGGCCCGCCUUUACCCGCCUAGAACAGACUUGGGCCUCCUUGAUCCUCCUAGACCCGCCUAGGGCCGCCUUGACCCUCCUAGACUCGCCUAGGCCACCAAGAAGCCGCCUAGGGCCGCCUUGACCCUCCUAGACCCGUCAAAGGGCUGUGUUUACACGCCUUGAACCACCUAGGGCCGCCAUGGGGCUACCUUGACCCGUCUAGGGCUGCCUUGGCCCCUCUUAGGCCGCUUUGACCCGACUUGACCCGCCCUGGACCGCCUUGGCCCCCCUUGACCCACCUUGACCCGCCUAGGGCCACUAUGACCCGCCUUGACCAGCUUUGAACCGCUUUGGCACGCCUUAACCCGGCUUAGACCGCCUUGGGUCGCCUUGACCCGCCUUGGACCGCCUUGAGUCGCCUUGACCCUCCAAGACCCAACUAGGGCCACCAAGAAGACGCCAUGACUCGCCAAGGGGUCUCCAUUACCCUUCUAGAGCCGCCUUAACCCACCUUAGGCCGCUUGACCCGUCUUGGCCCGUCUUGGGCCACCUUAACACGCCUUGGGCAGCUAAGGGGGAGCCAUGACCCACAUAGAGCCGCCAAGGGGCUGCCUUUACACGCCUUGACCAACCUACAGCCGCCAAGGGGGCCGCCUUGACACACCUUGAGCCUCUAAGGGGGCCACCUUGACACGCCUCAAGCCGCCAAGGGGACGUCUUGACCCGUCUAUGGCUGCCAUGGGGGAUAUCUUGACUCGUCUUGAGCUGCCUUGACCCGCCUUGGACCGUCUUGGGCCACUUGGACCCGCCUUGGACCGCCUUUGCCUGCCUUGAUUCGCCUUGGGCCGCCUUGACCCUUCUCGACUCUUCUAGGCCCACCUAGGGCAGCCAAGGGGGCGCCUUGACCCGCCUUGGACCGCCUUGGGCUUCUUUCACCCGCCUUGGGCCGCAUUGGCCCGCCUUGACCCACCUUGGGCCACCUUUAAACGCCUUGGGCCGCCUUGUCCCUCCAAGACCAACCAAGCUGCUGUCUAGGGCCGCCUCGACCCGCCUUGACCCGCCUUGGCCUUCGUUGGGCCGCCAUGGCCCGCCUUGAACUGCCUUGGACCGCCUUGGACUGCCUUGGACCGCCUUGGACUGCCUUAACCCUCCUAGACCCGCCUAGAGCCGCCUUGACCCUCCUUGACUUGCCUAGGGCCAACAAAAAGCAGCCAUGACUUGCCAAGACUAGUGAAGGGACUUCCUUUACAUGCCUUAACCCACCUAAGCCCACCUUCGGCCGCCUUAACCCUCCUCGGCCCUUCUAGGCCCACCUAGGGCAGCUAAGGAGGAGUCAUGACCCACCUAGAGCCGCCAAGGGGUUGUCUUUACACGCCUUGACUAACCUAGGGCUGUCAAGGGGGCUGCUUUGACACGCCUUGGGCCGCCAUUGGGCUACCUUGACCAAUCUAGGGGCCGCUUUGACCUUCCUUGGUCUUCGUUGGGCUACCUUGACCCGUCUAGAGUCGCCUUGACCCGCUUAGGGCCGCCUUGGAACCCCCUGGCACGCCUUGACCCGUCUUGGCCCACUCGGCCCGCCUUGGCCUUCGUUGGGUCCCCUUGACCACUUUGAACCGCCUUGGGCAGCAUUGACGCUCCUAGACCCACCAAGGGCCGCCUUGACCCUCCUAGACUCACCUAGGGCCACCAAGAAGCCGCCUUUACUAGCCAUGACUCGUCAAAGGGCUGCCCUUACACGCCUUGACCAUCCUAGACCCGCUUAGGGCAACCUUGACCCAUGUAUGGCCGCCAACGGCCACUUUAACCCGUCUUGGCCCGCCGUGACCCUCCUCGACCCUUCUAAACCCAACUAGGGCAGCUAAAGGGGAGCCAUGACCCACCUAGAGCCGCCAAGGGGCUGUCAUUACACGCCUUGACCCACCUAGGCCGCCAUGGGGCUGCUUUGACACGCCUAGGGACGCCAAGGGGCCCGUUAUAACCCUCUUAGGGCCGCCAAGGAGCUGCCUACGGCCGCCAUAAGACUACCUUGACCCAUCUAGGACCACCUUAACCUGCCUUAACUCACCUGGACAGCCAUGGCCGCCUUUGACCACCUUGGCCAGCCUUGACCCGCCUUGACCCGCCAUGGGCAGCUUGGAACCGCCUUGAACCGUUUUGGCCCGCCUUGACCCAUCUUGGACCUCCUUAAGCCGCCUUGGAGAAUUUGCCAAGGUCGUGUCGACUUCAAUUAUUCUCAUACAGAUAGUGGGAACCACAAUUUUCAAAGAAAAUGAGGUAUUGCCCCUCAUUUUGAAGUUUCACCGAAUUCAGGCCAAAAGGCCCAAAACCCUUUGCUAUAGCACACGAGUUUCUGGCCAUUUUCACUUUUUUUAGGCCUCCAGUUUUUUCUGUUUGAGUAUGCUUAUAGACACCUCCUAACAUCUUUUGAACCAUUAUUGCAUCAAAAUUUCAUGUCAUUUAUUGUUUUACUCAAGAUCGGGCUUCAACGACUCACGUGCACCGUGUAUCGUAAAUCAACUCAAACUGUUAUUUUCAGGGGUAUUGGGUGAAUUUUUCAAGGUCGUGUUGACUGCAAUUCUUCUCAUACAAACAUCGGGAACUCAAUUUUCAAAGAAAAUAAGGUAUUGCCCCUCAUUUUCAAGUUUCACCCAAUUCGAGCCAAAAUGCCCAAAACCCCUUGCUAACAUACGAGUUUCUGGCCAUUUUCACUUUUUUUUAGGCCUCCUGUUUUUUUGGUUUGGGUAUGCUUAUAGACACCUCCUCACAACUUUUGAACAAUUCUUGCACCAAAAUUUCAUGUCAUUUAUUGGUUUACUCAAGAUCGGGCUUUAACGACUCAUGUGCACCGUGUAUCGUGAAUCUAUUCAAACUGUUAUUUUCUGUGGUAUUUGGUGAAUUUGCCAAGGUCGUGUUGACUUCAAUUCUUCUCAUACCGAUAUCGGGAACCCCAAUUUGGAAUAAAAAUGAGGUAUUGCCCUCUCAUUUUCAAGUUUCACCCAAUUCGAGCGUAAAGGCCCAAAACUCAUUGUAGCACACGAGUUUCUGGCCAUUUUCACUUUUUUUAGGCCUCUAGUUUUUUCUGUUUGAGUAUGCUUAUAGACACCUUCUAACAUCUUUUGAACCAUUCUUGCAUCAAAAUUUCAUGUCAUUUAUUGUUUUAUUCAAGAUCGGGCUUCAACGACUCACUUGCACCGUGUAUCGUAAAUCAACUCAAACUGUUAUUUUCAAGGGUAUUUGGUGAAUUUGCCAAGGUCGUGUUGACUUCAAUUCUUCUCAUACAGCCAUCAGGAACCUCAAUUUUCAAAGAAAAUGAGAUAUUGCCCCUUAUUUUCAAGUUUCAUCCAAUUCGAACUAAAAGGCCCAAAACCCCAUGCUAUAGACACUUCCUAACCCCAUGCACACGAGUUUCUGGCCAUUUUCACAUUUUUUAGACCUCCUUUUUUUUUCCCUUGAGUAUGCUUAUAGACACCUCCUAACAUUUUUUUGAACGACUCACGUCACGUGAGUAUUGUUUUAGUCAUGAUCACGCUUCAACGACUCACAUGCACCGUGUAUCAUAAAUCAACUCAAACUGUUAUUUUUAGUGGUAUUGUGUGAAUUUGCCAAGGUCGUGUUGACUUUAAUUCUUCUCAUACAGACAUCGAGAACCUCAAUUUUCAAAGAAAAUGAGGUAUCGCCCCUCAUUUUCAAGUUUUACCCACAAUUUGAGCUAAAAGACCCAAAACCCCAUGCUAUAGCAGACGAGUUUCUGACCAUUUUUACUUUUUUUAGGCCUUGUGUUUUUUUCUUUUGAGUAUGCUUAUAGUCACCUCCUAAAAUCUUUUGAACCAUUCUAGCAUCAAAAUUUUAUGUCAUUUAUUGUUUUACUUAAGAUCGGGCUUUAACGACUCACGUGCACCGUGUAUCGUAAAUCUAUUGAAAUUAUUAUUUUCUGUGGUAUUGGGUGAUUUUGCCAAGGUCGUGUUGACUUCAAUUCUUCUCAUACAGAUAUCAGGAACCUCAAUUUUCAAAGAAAUUUAGGUAUUGCCUCUUAUUUUCAAGUUUCACCAAAUUCGAACGAAAAAGCCCAAAAUCAUUUGCUAUAGCACAAGAGUUACUGGCCAUUCACUUUUUUUAGGCCUCCUACUUUUUUCGUUCGAGUAUGCUUAUAGACACCUUCUAACAUCUUUUGAACUAUUCUAGCAUCAAAAUUUCAUAUCAUUUAUUGUUUUACUCAAGAUCGGGCAUCAAUGACUCACAAUCGGGUUUCAAUGCUUAUAGACACCUCCCGCUUGUCUAUAUGAGAAGUACUAAUUUAUAAUGAUUUCAUAAUAUGAAAAGUUUGGUUGGAAAAUAAGAACAAUCUAUUUUGACCGAAAUACUCGUGUUAUAACUUGCUGAAAGUUAAUUCAGUGUUCUUAUUUGAUAAUUGAAAUAAUUUAGUUUAG
rnacentral:lncRNA from 1 species